ACUCCAGCAAAAUAUCAAGCGGUUACCAACCCAUCAAAGAGUCAGAGAUCUCAGCUUCAACAAAUUGGAAGGAAGUAUUCCUGAUCUUGAAGAUCUUACUCUGAACAGAUUGCAGUACUUGAUACUAGUCCUUCCACGAGAUCCUUAGCUUUAAGCUGUUACAAUGAAGGGGAAGUGUAGGUUCACCAUAUGCCGAUGGAAGCAAUGGCUAGAGACUAAAUUGUAAUAGAUGGGCAAUUGGGGCUGGCUUUUCCAAUUGGUAUUUUUUGGAUGUUACUUUAAUGUAUUUAAAGUUAGUGCAAGAGAAUGAUAACUAUGCUGCAAUGAGACAAAAGCCCAAAGAUUCUGCAAAGUGGAAGCAUAGCAAGAGCUUAAGUUGCCUUGGGUCAAACUGAGGUCUGCUAUGCUUUAUAGAAUGCAUUGGGUUAUCAGUCUUCCAUCCAUAACACUACUGUCAACGUACACAAAUGAAACUGCAAUUCCUAAGGUUCUUAUUUUGGCAAGGACAAAUCAUUGGAGUUCAAUCUAUUCAAGGUUGAUAGAGCAUACCUAAUGAGAAAAUUAGCAUUAUAGUAACGUUACUUUUUUAAUUUCAUUUUGCAGUUGAUUCUCCUUAGAUCGGAUCUUAAUUUGUAUACAUACCAUACCAUACUGGU